AAACAAUCUCAAGUCUAUCCCCUAUCAUUUCUUAGUCGAUGGACUUGUUAGUAAACCAACAAUAUAUGUUAACUGGAAUAUCAACGCUUUAGCUUAUGGUAAGUUCACCUCCCUUACACGAUGGAGAUAUCUUUUAAUUCUAGAUGAAAUCUGAGAACAUCCAAAAACAUGUUUGCUUUUACCUAAAUAUACUAAGUAUAAUCAUGUUCCCCAGUGCCUUGCAAUCUGAC